GCAUCUUAGCCGGACGUUCGGUUCAUCCCACAUCACCAGUUCUGCUUACCAAAAGUGGCCCACUUGGCACCAUGCAGUCGUCGCAUCGCAAUGGCCGCCUCCGAUCAGGAGAGGAGCGGCCCGUUUCGAGUUCAAGAGUAGAUCGAGGCCGUCAACGUUCCCGGGGCCUCCAGUCGUUCGCUUUACCGGACGGAAUUGCGUGUCGUUCUA
rnacentral:lncRNA from 1 species